CGGGCAUCUUCUCCGUGGAUGAUCUUGCCGAUGUCGGCACCGAUGAUGGAACGCCCGUGACGGAAUACAAGUCGCGUAAAUUCAUCGGCACGCUCAACAAGGUCACGAUCACGACGAGCAAGUAAAUACCUCCCUUUGACUCACACAUGAACGGCUGUAACCUGAAAUGGUUACAGCCGUUUUCGCCGGAGCAAUCAAGAAAUCUUUCCGCCUGAGAAGAAGUGAACAGGAGAACCAUAGAAAAUGAAAACCACAC
rnacentral:misc_RNA from 1 species